rnacentral:rRNA from 1 species
UACGUAGGGUGCGAGCGUUGUCCGGAAUUACUGGGCGUAAAGAGCUCGUAGGCGGUUUGUCGCGUCGGGAGUGAAAACUCAGGGCUUAACCCUGAGCCUGCUUCCGAUACGGGCAGACUAGAGGUAUGCAGGGGAGAAUGGAAUUCCUGGUGUAGCGGUGAAAUGCGCAGAUAUCAGGAGGAACACCGGUGGCGAAGGCGGUUCUCUGGGCAUUACCUGACGCUGAGGAGCGAAAGUGUGGGGAGCGAACAGG